GCUGUAGAUCAGUGGCACAACAUCUGCUUUGCAUGCAAAAGGUCCCUGGUUCAAUUCCUGACAUCUCCA